rnacentral:lncRNA from 1 species
GCCUUUACCUUUCCAGUCUGAUAAAUGUAGGAAACCUGUGAUGCUAAGGGAUAAGCAUUGGCGAUCUCUAGGUUUUUUUAAUUUAAAAAAAUCUUUAAAAGAAAACUUCAAGACCUCUGUAUUAGUCAAAAGGCCCUUGCUAGGUUUGUGCUGCUGCCUUUUCCACCUUCUCUGAAUAUGUGACUAAUAAGAGUAAGUUAAGUAUCCUAUUUCCUUUUAAUUUUGUGUUAAGAUAUAAUUUUCACCAGCUUCAUAUGUUAUUUAUUUCCUAUAGUGGUUAGCUUGUGGUGAUGGUUAGGAUGUUUUAAUUGUCAUUUUCUUAUGAGCUGUAAGCACCUUGAAGGUAAUUUAAAUGAGGCGGAAUGGCAGAAUGUAAAUAUUUCAAUACAAAGAAGUAAAAUAAAUUUGUAACACACACACACACACGCACACACACAUACACACACAAUUUUAUAGACUAGAACCCAUUGCAGUUGAUACCGAACAUAAUCCUUGUUUACUGUUGAUAUUGAAUGUCAGUAAUUUUUGUUUGCAAAUUGGAGGUCACCUAAAAUGUAAUUAUUAUUUUUCUGAUUAGUUGUUCAAGUAUCUUCCUCCUGACUGUGAGGUUUUAAAUUCACAUGAAGAUCACAAAUACUGAAUCUGGUUGUUUUUUUAAAAAAGGCAUAUAAUCGAGAUACUAUGACAAUGUAUUAGUUAUGAGUAUAUCACCAUUUUUCACAGAGGUGUAUACGACAUACAUUGACCACAGUCCCAUUGUAGUCAAGGAGAUCUAGUUAUACAUAACAACUGGUGGUCUGGAAUGGGGGCGACAUGCAGCCCCAUUUGCAUCAAAAGAUGCACUCAGCCAGUUCGAUAGGAUAAGCAUAAUAAUGUUCACAGUCCAUCCAGAUGAAGAUACACAUUCAAAUCAACUGUGCAUGCGGAUCUGCCUUACUGGAUCUGGACAAAGAUGUACAGCAUGGGGCUUCCCAUCCCAUGAAUCUCCCAGUGUGUGCAUUUCCCAUCUCAUACAUGGAGCUAAAAUUACCAUAGUAUAUUGGGAAUAUUUCUUUCUUAUGGUGAAGCAGAGGAAGGAUCUUCAAUUCCAGAAGAGGGAGGUGUGAGGCAAAAGUCAAUGCUGGACAUUAAGGUUGCAACCCUAUACACUUGGGAGGAAAUCCAUUGUACUUAAUGAUAUUUUCUUCUGAGUAGACAUGCAUGGGAUUGUGGUGCAAAAGCCAUAGAAUAUACCCCCCCAAAAAAGUAACUUGAUCCAUUACUGUAAAAUAAUGCCUGUUAUAAUCCGCCCCCCCCCCCAGGAUAAUUGUGAAUAAUGAGGUCAACACUGUUAUGUUAUAAGAAGAAUUUAUCCUGACACAGAAAUAGAGAACUAAUACAAUUCUCAUCUGAUCCCCAUUAAGCACAAUGUGUUUGUUGUGUUUAUUGCAUCUAGGGAUCCCCUUCCCCUCAACUGGGCCACUAGCCACACAAAACAGAGGCUUAAAUCAAACCCAGAAUUAAGUUUGCAUAACUGUUGGCUUAAGUACCCUCAUUCUGGGUUAGAUAUAGACUAAAGUGCAGUGGUUGGAAUAAACCUGUUUGGUUUAAUGAAGUUCACUGAACUAGUUCAAAAAUCUCUGAACUACACCUGAAAAUAGUUCCCAUUAUUGCUGGAUGAAUUAAAGGUGAAUUAAGGUUAUUUUGGGGUAGAACUUUGAUUUGUUUCUAGUUAAUUUUCAUGUUCAUUCCCCUUUUCCACCCCUUGCCUCCAGUAGGAGGCCUGGAAGCUUUCAUAUAUUUUUUUAAAAGUGUCAGUUGAAAGUUAGAAAACAAAACAUGGAAGCAACAUUAUGUGUCUUAUGAGGCAGAUAUGGAGGUAUUGCUGUUGCUAUGGUCACUCAGUCACCAAAAUCACUGUUGCUAAGCAAAGAAAGAAGGAAUAUGAGGCAUUUCCAGUAUCUUCUCUGCUGAAGAGAUUCAUUCUCUUCCAACAGGUGGAGCUUGCCGUGUGAAGUACAGGUAAAAUAACAAAGUGAAUGCUGUCUUGUGCCUGCUGUGUAGCAGGCAGAAAUUAAACAGGUAAGCCUUUUCCAAGAUAGAAAUAGAAUUAUGGGGAAAGACAAUUCUGUCUUUUAGAUAUCUUAUUACUUGUGUGUAGCCCCUGAUUUACUUUUGGACCCUAUACUUCAGCUUAUCAUAUUCUGAAUGCUGAUUUCCCACCUCCAAAGAAUUAGUCUUUCAUGAACUUUCAUUUGGAUGAACUUGAACCAAACUAGUUUGUUUUAUAAAAGUACGAGCUUUAACUUGAACUAGUUCCUUUUGGGACAGGAUGAACUAGAACCUUUUAUAAAUGAGUUUUCUAAGUACUGCUAAAGUGUGACUAGUACUGGACUGGUGGAUUAUUGUACUUCCAUAAAAUUAUAGUAUGCAUUGACUUUUUUUCUUGUAUGUUACAUCAUUCUGAAACUUUAUUGUAGAAAUCUGAGUAAUAAAAUUGUAUAUGUAAAUAAAUAUGAUUUAUUUAUAAUUUGAUCCCAUGCUUCUUAAACUCAAAGCAGUUACAACCACCCAAAAUUGCCAAGACCAAAACGUUAUUUGAAACCAGUACAUAUUGCAUAUGAAACGAAACACCAAAAUGAAUACAACUUCUCUGGAAACCUUGAUGAAACUGAGAGGAUUUACAACCCAUGUGAAAGGGCAGUGGCGAUGAACCUUCCUUACCUCUUGAGAAGCUCCAGGCCUGUGUGGGGGGCGGGGACGGGACGGGCAGCUGGGUACACUUGCCCCAGGCCUUGGAGGGCUAAGCUGGCCAGGAGGUCCCAUCAGAGACCCUCUGCUUUUUUGUUUGCGUUUAUAACUUUAUUAAAACAAGACUCCUGUACUGGUCCUCAGACAAGCUCUACACAGGCCUGGGAGGUUUCAUGGCUUGGGGCUACAGUUUAAAUGCUCAGUCUUUAGCUGAUGAUAGCUGAACCUGUCAAAAUGACAGUUUAAACAACAGGCCCAGCUGACUUGACCUCAGCUGGUUGUGAGUUUGGUCAAUAUGUGAAGAAAAGAUUUACUCCAACCAUAUGUUUUAAUGCAGGGAUGAGAAACCUGUAUCCCUCAAGGUAAGCCAUUGGACUCCCAUCAGUCCCAGCGAGCAGAGUCUCCAGUCACCGUGGCCAAUGAUCAAAGCUGACAGCAAUUGCACUCCUGCAACUUCUGGAGGUUCUCCAUCCCUGAUGUAAGGGCAAUUUUUCUAAGAAUAUAUAUAUAUAAAAUCAGAGUUAGGAAACAGUCUGACAGUCAGUCUGCUAACAAUAACUAGUGACCUUUGGUUCUGACAGGGACCAAAAGGCACCUUGUUUGGAGUAAAGUACUACAAUAAACCAAAGUCGUAUCCCUCAGCUCUAUUGCUUUCAAGGAAUUGAAACUUCAGUGGGCCAAGUAGCUGUAUCAUAUCCUGCCAUGGCAGACCAACUGAGGCAAUAACUACGGUUCAAUCUGUCUCUGCCUCAAUAUCUAGUUUCCCAUGAACCCAACCUGUUUUAUUUUCUUGAAAGCACAGUAGCUGAGUCUCAUUUGCACUGGUCUACAGUAGGGCUUUUAGCAAAGUCCCCCUCCUAUUUAUCUCCACCAAUAGUUAGCAAAAUCAAGCCCCACAAAGCUUCGUUUUCCUAUUUCACUUUGCUACAAAUAACAAUGCCCCUAACACAGAGAAGCAAAGACCAGCCUUCCAAGAACUCCUUUUCUUGUACAGUUUUUGUAACUCUGAGCUUUGCUAUAACAAACAGUCUUUUCUGUCACAUCUGCUUAACAUACUGACCGAAACAGUCUCCCAAAGAGAAAGUGAGCAUUUCCCUCCCCACCACCACCACCACCGACCGCCUUCUUCCUAGCUAUGAGAUUGACUCUCAUGGGUGCUUUUGCAUGCGGCCCUGGACUAAUUGAUGAGCAAUGCAUUUUGGGAAGUUUCUGUGCUCUGAUUUGCUUUCCCCCUUCUUCUCCCUCCCUUCUUGUUCCUUUUUAAUUUGUCUAGGAAAGGAAAAGAAAAAGCCCCUCCAGUGUUGUUUCCUGCAAAGACUGUUCUUAAGAGCCCGUUGGACAGCGCGGGGGCUCUUGAAGUGAUAGCUAAUUGGCAAAAGAAAGGCCCCAAUUGUCUUGAGGGGACUGGAAAGUGCCGCGUGUGCUUCUGAAAAGGACUAGGGAGAAGGUGCCCGGUUUCGCUAAGCAGCUGCUGUUGGAGAUGUUUGGUGAUUACAUCAGCAUUGGGAAAAAAGAGGCUGGAAAGAGAGAGAGAGAGAGAGAGAGAGAGAGAGAGAGAGAGAGAGUCUAACUUCACAGGGUGUGUGAGAGAGAGUUUAUGGAGGUCCCCCCCCUUCUUCCCCUUCCAAAGAUCUUCUGACAAUAAUGUCAUUGUCAAUAUAAGAGUUGUUAAUUCUUUAUGAAUAGUACAUGGGGCCUCUUGACUAAAUAGUACAUGUCCCAAAUCUGUCAGCUGGACUCUUCCUUCACAUGCUAGUGAGAUCACUUUGAUUGGAAUGUUACAGGAAUGGCUCCAUCCGCCACACAGCCCUGAAUACGACAUUAUAUAAUUAGAUCUCCCAGAGCAGUGAUAGUAGUAGGAUUAGUAUCCCUCCCUACCCCAUUACCUCAUUAUUGUAGCUUAAAUAUGGGAUCAGGCCCUUUGAUGAUUUUAGUGGUUGUAAUUAUAUUAACGCGAUUCAUUUUAUGGUCCUGUUUCAGCGCUUAUUUAGAUUACAAACUGUCCCGUAGGUUUCCUGAAAAGAGGAAGGACUCUUGAAAGAGCUCAUAUGCAUUUUCAAUGAACAAAUGGUGCCUUACUGGACAAUGUCAUAGAACAGGACACUCUUUUUUAAAAAAUCUUUUCAAAGGGGCUAGUUAAUGAUUCUUUUCUUCAUAGGGUCAACUGAGUUUAGGGUCCAUUUGUUUAAAUAGGCCUAGAUUAUAAUAAGCAGCGAAUUGCAAAGUAGUCCAGUCAACUGGUGUUCAUGCAAUUGUUGCUGGAACAGACCUGUAGCCAUUUGCUACCUAACUAUUUGGAUAGGCUGAAUGCAAUCUUAUUGAAUCCAGGCAGCCAAUUGGACAAUUCCACUGUCUUUACAAAGUGAGAUGACUUCCUUCCUGUUGCACAAGUUGCUGACCUGCUGCCUGAGUCUACAACAGAUGCCUAUAUGCAAAGACUCACCCAUACCAACUUGAAUCAGGAAGAUCAGCAUCCCUCUGAAGCACUGAUGUAAAUAGUUGUUUCUAAAAAAACAAGAUGGACAUGUUUAGAAGUGAUUGUUUAGAUCUCAACAUUCUAAAUGGAUCUGGGCCAUGAAGACAUGCCACUCGAAAACUGUUUAAUUAAAAUGAACCUCAAUAGUGACUGUGAAUAAAUGGCUUGGCUUGCUGUA